rnacentral:rRNA from 1 species
AACUCGCGAGAGCGCGCCAAUCUCACGUAAAGCCAUCCUCAGUUCGGAUUGGAGUCUGCAACUCGACUCCAUGAAGUCGGAAUCGCUAGUAAUCGCGGAUCAGCACGCCGCGGUGAAUACGUUCCCGGGCCUU